rnacentral:lncRNA from 1 species
CCAUAACCACUACCCGAGAAGGGAGUGGGAACAAGUGAUACCCCAGGGACAUCAGACGAGUACACAAAAAGGGGACUAGAAGAAUCUACAACAGUAGAGGCACCAGUGUUUGUGCUAGAAGCCAUAAUGAACCGGCUUAAAUGAAUAACUUUUCAACAAACAGAAUACUACCAAAACAGGUAUUCAAACACAGCAACCAACAAACAAACUACAGUCAAAUUAAGUAUUCACGGACACCACCAUAUGCUCACAAUUAC